rnacentral:rRNA from 1 species
CCUACGGGUGGCAGCAGUGAGGAAUAUUGGUCAAUGGACGGAAGUCUGAACCAGCCAUGCCGCGUGCAGGAAGACGGCUCUAUGAGUUGUAAACUGCUUUUGUACAAGGGUAAACCUGAAUACGUGUAUUCAGCUGAAAGUACUGUACGAAUAAGGAUCGGCUAACUCCGUGCCAGCAGCCGCGGUAAUACGGAGGAUCCAAGCGUUAUCCGGAUUUAUUGGGUUUAAAGGGUGCGUAGGCGGAUUGAUAAGUUAGAGGUGAAAUGUCCGAGCUUAACUCGGGAACUGCCUCUAAUACUGUUGAUCUAGAGAGUAGAUGCGGUAGGCGGAAUGUAUGGUGUAGCGGUGAAAUGCAUAGAUAUCGCGCAGAACCCCGAUUGCGAAGGCAGCGUGCCGUGCCGCCACUGACGCUGAGGCACGAAAGCGCGGGGAUCGAACAGGAUUAGAUACCCCAGUAGUC